GUCAGGAUGGCCGAAGCGGUCUAAGGCGCUACGUUAAGGUCGCAGUCUCCUCUGGGCGUGGGUUCAAAUCCCACUUCUGACA
rnacentral:tRNA from 1 species